UCAUUUAUUCCAUUCCAUUCCUCCUCAUUUUCCUGUUCUAAACCUUUUCCAAACCCAAAUACGUUAUCAGUAGCUUGCUCAUCUUCGAUGCUACCAGCUUCACUAGCAGAAUCUUCUUGGUAAUGUUCCAUUCUAGAAAUUCUUUGGUCCUCUAAUUCACGCAAACGAUCAGCUUCAAUUUGAGCAAGCUCCUCUUCGGUCUUAGUACGCUCAGUAGGAUGCGCGCGUUUGUCGAAAACCAUUUCACGGACAAAUGAAUCAUAACGUGCAUCUCCGUCUGAAAUUAUUGGUCGUUGUGUUUUUAUGCCGGACUUCCUAGAUGCUUUUUUAUAAUCCGACAAAAAGGAUUGCAAAUCCUCCAUCUGUUCGUCAAGUUUUUCUCUUUCGUCCUCAUAUCUUUCUUUCUCUGCUUGACGUUCAGCUUUGUAAUGCUUGGACUUGGCAAUAAUUUCCGACAUCACUUCACGUUUAGAUUUAUGUGCACCUUCACCUUCUUUCUCAUUUUCGGCAUCAGAAUCCUCAAAUCCGCCAAAAUGCAUGCGACGAACUACUUCAUCGUUUAACUCCUCUCCUUCAUCAAGUCCAAAUCCAGGUUCUUCAAAGGAAUCUAUAUCAGACAAAGGCCUAUUACCAUGAGUCAAAACAUCUUCUGCAUCUAGAUUGUAAAGCUCUCUUUUGCUACGACGCUGUUGUUCACGACUAAAUCGUUCUAACAUUUUCUCUUCAACUGAUAAAUGUGGAUUGUUCUCACCAAAUCGUCGAUCGAUUAUAGCUCCAGAACGAUUCCUCUUUUUCAAUUCAGCCCCAAUUGUUCUCCUUCGAAGUUCCUCUCCAACACCCCGACUAACUCCGGGUUUACCCUCAGUUCCCUUUACACGUCUACCACCAACAUCAAAUUUCCGUUUUGUAAACUGCCUGUCAAAUAAAUUAAACUUAAAAAUAAUUAGCUAUUGCUCUCAUAAGCUGGAAAGACAAAAACAUACAUCUGAUUGAAUUUUUUGAACUUUAGCCUGUCGGUCUUCAUGGGACUCAGUACUUCUAGUUCUCGACUUUUUAUUAUUUGGACGAGUACCAAGGUUUGCUUGGCGAAUACUCGAUUUCAAAUUUUUUAAUUGUGAUCCAUUUUUACCCAUAACAGCAAUUUGAUGAAGAAAUUACCUUCUGGAAGAAAAUGUUUGGUAUAUGAUAAAAAGUUAAUAUUGUGAGUACUCACACUAAAAUACUGUAAACUGUGCAUUAUUAUAUUUUGGGGCAAAGGAUAAAUUUUAUAAUUAUAUAAAGGUGGUUCACGAACUGUAAACAAAUCAACCACCUAGUGUCCUGCAACGUUCCAGAUCAGUAAUAUUAUAUUCAAUUUUAAAAUAAGUAUUUUGGUAAAUUGUUAAAGUGCUUCUUGAAAUCAUA